rnacentral:rRNA from 1 species
CCUACGGGAGGCAGCAGUAGGGAAUCUUCCACAAUGGGCGAAAGCCUGAUGGAGCAACGCCGCGUGGGUGAAGAAGGUCUUCGGAUCGUAAAACCCUGUUGUUAGAGAAGAAAGUGCGUGAGAGUAACUGUUCACGUUUCGACGGUAUCUAACCAGAAAGCCACGGCUAACUACGUGCCAGCAGCCGCGGUAAUACGUAGGUGGCAAGCGUUAUCCGGAUUUAUUGGGCGUAAAGGGAACGCAGGCGGUCUUUUAAGUCUGAUGUGAAAGCCUUCGGCUUAACCGGAGUAGUGCAUUGGAAACUGGGAGACGUGAGUGCAGAAGAGGAGAGUGGAACUCCAUGGGUAGCGGUGAAAUGCGGAGAUAUAUGGAAGAACACCAGUGGCGAAAGCGGCUCUCUGGUCUGUAACUGACGCUGAGGUUCGAAAGCGUGGGUAGCAAACAGGAUUAGAUACCCUGGUAGUC